rnacentral:rRNA from 1 species
UACGAAGGGGGCUAGCGUUGCUCGGAAUUACUGGGCGUAAAGGGCGCGUAGGCGGUGUGUCAAGUCAGGCGUGAAAGCCCCCGGGCUCAACCUGGGAACCGCGCUUGAGACUGGCACGCUCGAGUCCGGGAGAGGAUGGUGGAAUUCCCAGUGUAGAGGUGAAAUUCGUAGAUAUUGGGAAGAACACCGAUGGCGAAGGCAGCCAUCUGGACCGGCACUGACGCUGAGGCGCGAAAGCGUGGGGAGCAAACAGG